AUCCAUUGCAUUUGCAGAUAUGCCUCAGGAUUAUUUUAUUAGUACAAUUUUUUUUUCUUUUUGAGACAGUCUCACUCUGUCACCCAGGCUGGAGUGCAGUGGUGCAAUCUCGGCACACUGCAGCCUCCACCUCCCAGGUUCAAGCGAUUGUCCUGCCUUAUUCCCUGGUGUAUCUGGGAUUACCAAUGUGCACCACCACACCCGGCUAAUAUUUUGUAUUUUUAGUGGAGAUGGGGUUUCGCCAUGUUGGCCAGGCUGGUCUCGAACUGCUGGUCUCAAGUGAUCCACCUGCCUCAGCCUCCCAAAGUGGUAGGAUUAUAGGCAUGAGCCACCGUGCCCAGCCUAGCGUCAUGUAUUUAUACUGUUAUUUCCACCUCCUAAAAGUCAACAAGGACACUUAGCUCAAGAAGGCUGAUGUUGAGAGAGAACGCUUAUCAGAACAGGGAUCUCUGAGGAAAAAGGGAGCUUAAAUGUGUGUCCCUGGAAUUUCUUCUAGCCCUUCCUUUCCUUGGUGACAUGGCCACUGCUAUGGGCGGGAAUUAGAGAAGAGCCCUGACCAGUGGUGUUGAUGUCUUUGCCAAGUAUACUGUCAGGUCAGUGUCAUAAAUUGAUGAUAUAUAUAGAGAGACUUCAUUUAAUAGAAAAUAAUAUUUUAAGGACCACCUUGCUAUUUUACUUCUCUAAUAAUGUUUUGAAUAUUUUGAUAAAUACCUUUAGCAACAUAGUGGUUCUCAUCUCAGCCCUCUCUGUCCUUGAAAGAAUGUUAUUUAUAACAGGGUGGUUUCUGGACUGCCCUUCUGGAGUAAAACUUGGGCAUUCUAACCAUAUGCUUGCUGGAAACCAUAAUAAUGUAAAAAGUCGUCAUUGGGUUUUCAAUUGCAAUUACAUUGAUAUAAUUUUGUAUAUAAAACAGUCUGUUACUGGGAGCAGCAUUGUUCAUGUAAGAAAGAUGUUCGCUUCAUAUAAUACAUGGAAACAAAGUUAUAUUUUCAAUGUUAGCCAUUACUGUGACACUCCAAAAAAGGCUGGUGAUGGGGAGAAAGAAGAGCUUUAAAAAAACCUACAGACAAUUCACUUGCCUCUCGGGCUUUUCUGCUUUGCCUGCCUUGACCGAAUUAGAGUAUCUGCAUUUCUGCACUAAGCUGGUUGAGGUUUGCUAAGUCAAUGGUAAUGUUUUACAGAGCUUGGCUGUUAGCCAGCAUUUGUGGAAAACGACCAAUGUCUGUCAUAGCUAGUGCUAUAAUUUAUUCAGUUGGCAUAUUGUUUAUGGAGACAGUGAGAUAAGGGGAUUAGGAUCCAGAGAGACUAUUAAAAUAUGUGAGUCCAUCUGUUGUGAUCUGAGGUUUCAUUAGAGAAAACCUGUCUGCUAGUACAACAAAUGGAGACUUAGUAAGGAUGUUUUUAUAUAAAGGAUUAUAAAUCAGCAGAGGUAAAUACAUUAAUCUUGGCCAAACAGGUCAUGUCCUUUUGCGUUUUCCUGAUGGCAGGUUCUGCCCCCUGCCGCCCGGGCACUGUUGGUCAUAGCGUGACCUUGGCAUCAGCUGUGAGCCGGUAAACAUGGAAAUGUAGGCCCCUCCCAACCUGAGUCAGACCCUUAGCCUGGGGUCCAGGAAACUGUUUUAACAAGCCCCUGGGUGAUUUUUUUUCACAUGUUCAAGUUUGAGCGCCUCGAGGGCCUGUGAAUGGCUGCAUAUAAGGUACAGCUGGCCAUAUGUCUUAAAUGACUUCAAAGGGGUGUGAGCCAGGCCUCUUCCCACACCAGACUUCAUGAACCAUGCCUGGUAUUGUCAUGUUUUUGUGAGCAGCCGUGAAUAGGGCUGGGGGAGAGAGAUGUUCAGCCAAGAAAGUCUAAAAUAGAAAGGGAAUGUUCAGUUAUAACAAAACAAAUUUUUGUAAUUAGAGUGCUGGGUUGUGCUCAGCAUCAUUGGAGUUAAAUGUGGAGCAGUGGCUUACACUUGUAAUCCCAGCACUUUGAGAAACUGAGGUGGGCGGAUCCCUUGAGGUCAGGAGUUCGAGGCCACCCUGGGCAACAUGGUGAAACUCCAUCUCUACAAAAAAUAGAAAAAUUAGCCGGCUGUGGUGGCAGGUGCCUGUGGUCCCAGCUAAGGAGGCUAAGGUGGGAGAAUCUCUUGAACCCUGGAGGCAGAGGUUGCAGUGAGCUGAGAUCACGCCACUGCACUCCAGCCUGGGCAACAGAGCGAGAGACCCUUUC
rnacentral:lncRNA from 10 species